rnacentral:rRNA from 1 species
CAGUGAUGUUUAGCUAAUCUCUUAAAACCAUUCUCAGUUCGGAUUGUAGGCUGCAACUCGCCUACAUGAAGUCGGAAUCGCUAGUAAUCGCGGAUCAGCACGCCGCGGUGAAUACGUUCCCGGGCCUUGUACACACCGCCCGUCACACCACGGGAGUUGGGAGUACCCGAAGUAGGUUGCCUAACCGCAAGGAGGGCGCUUCCUAAGGUAAGACCGAUGACUGGGGUGAAGUCGUAACAAGGUAGCCGUAUCGGAAGGUGCGGCUGGAUCACCUCCUUU